GUCUAUGGCCAUGCCACUCUGAACAAGCCCAAUCCUGUCUGAUCUCGGAAGCUAAGCGGGGUCAGGCCUGCUUAGUACUUGAUGGGAGACCACCUAGGAAGACCAGGUGCUGUAGGCA
rnacentral:rRNA from 1 species